rnacentral:rRNA from 1 species
GACGAACGCUGGCGGCGUGCUUAACACAUGCAAGUCGAACGGAGCACCUUUGAAAGAGACUUCGGUCAAUGGAUGAGACUGCUUAGUGGCGGACGGGUGAGUAACGCGUGAGGAACCUGCCUUUCAGAGGGGGACAACAGUUGGAAACGACUGCUAAUACCGCAUAACGCUUGAGGAUGGCAUCAUCUUCAAGCCAAAGGAGCAAUCCGCUGUAAGAUGGCUUCGCGUCCGAUUAGACGGUUGGCGGGGUAACGGCCCACCAAAUCUACGAUCGGUAGCCGGACUGAGAGGUUGAACGGCCACAUUGGGACUGAGACACGGCCCAG